rfam:Ictidomys tridecemlineatus contig098348, whole genome shotgun sequence.
GGAGAUAUAGCUCAGUUGGUAGAGUGCUUGCUUUGUAUGCACAAUGCCUUGGGUUCAAUCCCCAGCACCACCA